UUAACUGUUAAAAAUCAAGAUUAACAAAAAAUGUGUCAGAUUUAAUAAAGAACUUUCAUAGUUAUAGGAAUCUUGCAUCAUUUAUUAUUUUGUCUUAUGACAAAUUUCCUAUGUGAAUUAAUUUGUGUAUGUUUUUUUCAAAUUAAAUGAAAAAUGGAUAAUGAUGGAAGAAAAUGUAGAAAAACGAAGCUUGCUCCACCUUGCUUAAAAAGUAAUGUAGGAUGUUGUGGAGAGUACAUUACCAAGAAUUAAAAGACCAUGUAAAAAAGUACUACCUGCAGUAGCUAUUGCUACUCAAUCUAAUGAAACAGAUACAAAUGCCAUUAGGGAAAUAAAUCCAGGCCAAAGUAAUAUUAUGCCUAUGAAUUUUGAUGUUAAGGUAAAAGUGGAGAAUGUUGAUAAGAAUGCAAUAGAAAAACAGCAUGAAAUAAUAAGUUGGAGGGAAAUUGUGAAAGAAUCUACUGAAAUUUAUCAUCAAUCAAAUAACAUUUGUGAUAAAAUACUUCAUGGACAGGUCCUCAACACUUGCAAACCGGACGUAAAACUAUUUGUAAAAACGCCUCACGAGAAACUAUUAGACCGAGCAUUCACACGAUGGUGCGAUUGGGCCUCCCUCACAGAGGAACCCAAAGAUCCGCCUUUAUUCUACAAAUGCUACAUCUGCGAUAUGGCGUGGUGGCAUUUGGCCCACUUCCGCGACCACAUACGAACCCACGAACCUUCGAGUCUCGACGUCGUUUUAGAAAUGAUUGACGAUGUCGAGUGCAAUAUUGUCGCUUACUACACCAAAUCGGCAAACAAGUUCAUCGCAAACAUAGAAGGAAAAUGCUGGAAAUGCGGCGAAAAGGCGUCCGAACACACGAAAUUGAAGAAUUGUGUCGGAUGUAAGAAACGGUUCUACACGUGCAGCAAGCUACGCCAACACCAGUGGUACUGCGAGGAGUUCAAGAAGAUGCAUCUGGACCUUUUCGCGUCAGCAGAGAAGAUAUUCAAAUGUCACCUGUGUCGGUUUUACUAUUUCAAAAAGGAGGACAGUAUAGAACACAUGAUACUGCGGCAUUCUGUGCGGUCUGAUGUGCCCAUACCGGGCUGUUCCGUUUGUGAGAAGUGCAAGGACCUGAUCUCAUAUGAAGAUGAUCAUGUUUGUGAAUCUAAAGGGUAUGUCAAGACGUGUGGUGCUUGUAAGAAAAGGGUCACCGAAAGCAGUGCUGCAGUCCAUCAGAUCGAAGGGAACUUCACCUGCUCUGUAUGCAAAUCGAAAAUAGUAAAGACUUGUUCAAUACAUCUCCACGCACUUCGUCAUACGAUGAACUAUGGAUUGGCGUAUAAGUGCCUCACCUGUAAAUUUUUUAUAAUCUUUGACUUGGAACAGAUUAAAAACCACAAAAUGCUUUAUCAUUCCAAUCGCGAAUUUGAUUGUGAUCUUAUUUCCGUCCCAAAAACCAUAGUAGAUAGAUUAAAAUCUACGCCAGGCAAACAUGAUUCACCUGUUGAUAGUCAAAUAAAUACUUUCCCAUUGACUCAUGACCCUCAAGAUACGGAGAAUGAUAGAGAUGAUGAUGAUGUCAUCAUCAUUGAUAAUGUGCCUAAAGUUAUUGUUAUACCAUCUGAUGACGCACCUAACGAUGAUCUCCCUUGUGUCAUUGCUAAUAUUAAAUCCGAACCACUUGAAAAUGAAAUACAAACAUCUGAAACAAAACAUAAUGUUACACUACAAAAUGAUUUCGAAUGUAAAACGAUGGUAAUCCAAAUACCUGAAGACACAAAAGACGUAUUUAAAUGCCUUUCAGAUGGAAACGGAAUUAAUGAUGAUAAAGUAUUAGGUAUUGAUGAAAUUAAAAGGGAACCUAAUAUAGUUAUAAAUACACUAAGUAUGACGACAAAUAAUGUAAAUACCGUCGAUCAUAUACAAAAGUUGAAACCUACAACUCAACAGACUCUGCUAACCAACGUAUCACGUAAUUUAGAAUCAGAUGUGAAAAUCGAAGUUAUAAAUAGUGUAGACGUGGUGGAGGAAGAGAAACUAAAGACAGUCGGCCUAAGUGGUACACAAUUGAAUAAAGAGAAACGAGAAAAAGCUAGACCGGUAGAUACAUUUAAAAAUUUAGAACUAAUUACUCCAAAACAGUCGGAAGUAUCAGGACGGAUAAAGGUAGAAAAAUUAGAAGAAACUGUUGACGAAAUCGAUAUCCAAUGGCACACUGUUCCAAUAAAGGAAGAAGCUGAUCCGGAAAUGGAUUUCAAAUUAUCAAAUAUCAGAAGUUUAAGUAAUGUCUGUGAAAACGAAAUUGAUGUUAAGCAGGAAAUUAAUGAAUUCGAUCUAAAGGGACAAAGCAAGUAUUGGUUCAGCUUUGCGAAUAAUUCGCAUUUGAUCACCAUCUCACCGAAUGUAAUUUUAAAUACCGAUGAUGAUAGCGAUGAUGAAAGGAACCGAUCACACAGGAAGAUGGGAAAAGAAGAAAAACUAAAAGAGCUAAAAAGAAAAAGAAAUCGUGAACGUCAAAGGGCAUAUUAUCAUCGUCAGAAACUUUUGAAGAAAAAUGAAAAGAAAAUAAAAAAAGAAAGACAAAAGAAAGAAAAAGUACCGAAAUCAAAUGCUGAACGUCAAAGGAAAUUUCGUCAACGUAUUGCAGAAAAAUCUUAUAUGGAUAUGCAAAGACAAAAAUUUGACAGUAAUGAAGUAAAUGUCGUGAAAAGGGCUGUUGAAAAUAUAGAAAAAGUAACCAUACCAGAAAAUCAAUUUAACAGCCAACAUCUUCAAAUAUAUGAACAGCGUAAUGAAUGCAUUACUCCCGAAGUUAUUCUACACAGGAACACAGGAAUUCCUGGCGAUGGUAAUUGUCUAUUCCACUCGCUCAUAAGUGUUUUGCAACUUCAAAUUGAGACUUGUGACUUGAGACAUCAGUUACGCGAUUCACCCUAUCUAAACUCCUGCCACAAUCCGCAAGAAGCAUACAACAUUCUAUCAAGCGCUAAUGAUUACGGAGAUUUGGAUUGUUUGUACUUAUUUUCAAAAAUGUACAAUCAAAACGUUUGUGUACAUUAUUGUUUUUACAAUAUAACUACAAAGAAUCAAGACACUAUCUUUUGUCAUUUUAAAGCGAAUGAUACACGAAACUGGAUUCAUCUUCAUCUUCUUGAACAACAUUUCACACCUUUUUUUGAAGUAUCAGGUUUAUUGGAGACAAUACAAGACGCUACCCAAAAUGAAGUCCAUGUUGAUGCCAAUAUUCAACUAUUGCAUGAUAAUUAUGAUGAAGAUACUAUCGAAGAUCAUGAACAAAAUUUCAAGAACAAUCAUGUAAAUAAAAUUGAGAUUGAUAGAGAAAAUCGAAUUGGUGAAAAUAUUAUGGAUUCUAUUGUUGAUGGUAAUAUUCCAGUUUACAAAAAUUAUCGUAAACACAUUACAAGUCAUAUUGAUUUUUAUAAAGACUUCACGACUAAUACAUUUGGUCAUUCUUGUAUUAUUUGCGAUAGACUAUGGUGGAAAAGAGACUUGAAAAUGUCGACCAGUAAACAUGAGAGUAUUUUGAAAACAAUAAUGCAGAAUUACACACCAGGUGAAAUUGUUCAAGUCUGCUCUACGUGUUAUACAUCGUUGGAAAAACGAAGAAUUCCUCUCAUGUCGACCUACAAUGGUUUUGCAUACCCUAAAAUUCCAUCACAUUUACCAACGUUAAACCUUAUCGAGCAACGAUUGAUUUCACCGAUAAUACCGUUCAUGCAAAUUCGUAGGUUAAGGCACAUUAAUGGCCAGUCCGGUAUUUAUGGCCAGAUAAUUAAUGUUCCCGUCGAAAUUAAUACAAUGGUGGAACUAUUGCCAAGAAGCAUUCAAGAUGAUCAUUGCUUUUAUGUGCAUUUGAAAAAAAAGAUGAUUCACAAAACUAGUUAUGUCCAAGAACUUAUUAAUAAGAGCGAUAUUAAAGAGUGGCUGUCGUAUUUAGUCUCUACGCCUCUUUAUAUUUAUCAUGCCAUUAAAAUCGAUGAAUCUUUUUUUACCGCCAAUGAACGUGCUUCGCAAUUGAAUAUGGAUGAAAUAAGUGAACAUGUGCCAAUAGAAGAAAAUUUAGUUGCGCAACAACAAACUCUCAUGUGGAAUGAUGAUUAUUUUUUGAGUCUAGCACCCGGUGAAUAUAACAAGCCAAUCAGUAUUUUAAUGGAUGAACAUGCGGAAGAACUAUCUUUUCCGACAAUCUACGGCGGUCAGUUUCGAACAUACAGAGAUGGUGUUACUGUUACUCCAUUCAUGCAAGCUACCAGCGAACUUCGGCGUACUGAUAGGCGUGCUACUGAUCCUCAACAUCUUUUAUAUAUCGCUGCUAAAAUCAUGAGGUUGCGGGUUAGUGGAUGUGUCAACGUUGCGUUUAAGCAUGUUGGACAAGGUGCAUCAAUUACGAAAGAGACCAUUCAAUCUGAAGAAUAUAUAAAUAAUUGUUUAGAAACAAAUCUCGCAUUUCUUCGCUACAUACCAAAUUCUGCUUGGUUUUGGUCAGAUCGCAAAAAAGAUCUUUUUGCAAUGAUCAGACAAUUAGGGCCACCGACUGCUUUUAUGACACUUAGCGCCAAUGAAACUGGCUGGGAAAAUUUGUUGAAACUACUGUACAAAUUGAAAAACGAUGGAGCGGAAAUUUCAGAUGAGUCUUUAUCAAAAAUGAAUUAUGUACAUAAAGCUCAACUUGUGAAUGAAGAUGCGGUAACCUGUGCUAUUUAUUUUAAUAAAAUGGUAAAUUGUCUGGUAAAAGUUUUGCAAUCAAAGAAAAGAAGUCCAUUCGGAAAAUAUAGAGUAGAACAUUAUUUCAAAAGAAUAGAGUUUCAACAUUGUGGUAGCCCACAUGCUCAUAUUCUUCUUUGGUUGGAAAAUGUUCCUGAAGAUUUAUCAAGCAAUGAUCCCGAAGUGAUUAAAUUAAUCGACGAAUUAGUUUCUGUGUCAGCGUCAGAGGCGUCUGGAAAUAUAAAACUCGUAACACACAAACACUCAUUAACGUGUUAUAAAAAAAAUAAUCCUAAUGAAAAGCAAGAAUGUAGAGUUGGUGCACCUUUUAUGCCAACAAAAAAAACUAUUUAUUUGAUACCUAUGAAAGACACAGAACCCGAUUACUCGGAAGCACUUUUCGUAGAAUAUAAGAAACAAUUUAAAUUUAUAAAACAUAAUCUCGAAAAUGUUGACUACACUAAUUUUGAUGAAUUUUACUCGCAUAAUGGUAUUAUUUCUGAUGAUCAUUACUACAAUAUUAUUCGUGCUGGUAUCAAUAGACCGACAUUAUUCUAUAAAAGAACACCAGCAGAAAAAUGGCACAACACUUUCAAUCCAUUCGUAUUACAUCAUUUGAAAUCGAACAUGAAUUUUCAGAUUAUACUAGAUGAAUAUGCUUGUGCAACAUAUGUUGUUGAAUAUGUCAAUAAGCAUAAUAGAUGCAUCAGUAAUUUGCAAAGACAAAUAAUUGAUAUAGUGGAUGAGCAUCCAGAUUUCGACAUUGUCGAUAUCACGAAAAAAAUUAGUGUUGACAUACUCCAAUCUGUUAAAAUGAAGGCACAAGAAGCUGCUUGGUAUUUAUUAAGAGAGCCUAUGGCUAAGUCAUCGGUGGUGACAGUCUACAUUCCAACGGUAUAUCCAACUGAACGCGCAAGGAUGAGAAAAUCUAUGAAGGAACUUGAAACUCUAGAUGAUGAUUGUGCGAACGUUUGGAAAGAGAAUUGGUUUAAUAAGUACGAGAAAAGACCUGAAGAACUCCGCGAUGUUACGUUAGCACAAUUUGUUGCAAAAUAUUACCUAAAUAAAAAGGGGACUUACGCUAAAAGAGAUACUGCAAGAAUAAUAAGAUACAGGAACUACGAUAUGGCCGACAAUUACAACGAUUAUAGGCGUGAGAUGGUUCUGUUGCACGUUCCAUUUCAAAGUGAAGAAAAUGAUAUUAUUGCUGAAAAUAAAUUCAUUCAAAUAUACGAGAACAACAAAGAUACGAUACAAGAACGUAGGAAAGAAUUUGAAUCAAAUUUUGAUAUCGAGAAAACUUUAGAUAUUUGUAGACAGUUGUGCGGAGAAAACGAUAAAAAUCAACAAGAACACGAAGAAUUUUGGAUAUAUUGCAUGAAAGAGAUUCUUAUGACUGAAGGGCUGUUGAAAAUAUAGAAAUUGUAACGCUACAAGAAAAUUAAUUUCAUAGCCAACAAAUUCAAAUUUAUGAACUGCGUACUCAGAAAUCAGUUACGCGAUACACCCUAUUUGAACUCCUGCCACAAUCAGCAACAAGCAUAUUACAUUCUAUCAAGCGCUAAUGAUUGUGGAGAUUUGGAAUGAUUGUAUUUAUUUUCAAAAAUGUACAAUCAAAAUGUUGGUGUACAUUAUUGUUUUUACGACAUAACUACAAAGAAUCAAGACACUAUAUUUUGUCAUUUUAAACUUACUUUUAUGAAGUAUUUUUGACAUAUUAGAGGCAAUACAAGACACUACCCAAAAUGAAGCCCAUGUUGAUGCUAAUAUUCAACUAUUGUGUGACAAUUAUGAUGAAGAUUCUAUCGAACAUAACAUAAUCAUAAACACCUUAACAAUCAUGAAAAUAAAAUUGAGAUUGAUAGAGAAGAUCGAAUUGGUGAAAAUAUUAUGGAUUUUAUUGUUGAUGGUGAUGUUACAGUUACCAAAAAAUGUCAUAUAAACACAUUACAAGUUAUAUUAAUUCUUAUAAAGAUUGGGAUUUUAUUUUAAUUCAUUUGCUCAUUCUUGUAUUAUUUGCGAUAGACUGUGAUGGAAAAUAGACUUCAAAAUGUCGACAAGUAAAGAUAAGAGUAUUUUUAAAACAAUACUCCAGGUACACAGAGAAAGAGAGGUUGAGGCAGACUGCAAUUUAUUAGAUGCAAAAUAUCGGAAAGAGUCUGAUUUGAAACGACAUUUGGCGUCAAUGCAUAAAAGGAAAGCGCCAGAUAUUAUCACAAAUGCCGAUAGUGAAAGUGUAAAUGUCAAGUCUGAACCAGAGCAAUAUAGCUGGCCAUGCAUCAUACUCGUGAACGAGUGCGUCAUACUCGUGAGUGAGUGUACUUGUGGUGACUAGUCGGACUUGAAUUGUUGAUGUGAUGUUAGUUAUUUCGACUAUGUAUU